AAAGUUCACCUCAUUUAUCAACAAACAUAAAUUCAGCAUACCUUCUACUUAAGUGGCAGAUAUUACUGAAUCCCAUGAAGAAACAACAUAAGAUCCUUACUUUUAAAAUGGUCAUGCUGAACAAGGAAAAUUAUCAAAUGAACACUUACCACAAAAUUGCUCAAUGUGGUGUUUCAGAAUUCAGGAUAUUUUCAGAAACAGAUUAUACAACCAACUUUGCUCUCAUCAAAAUAGAAUAGAAGAAAAUAUUGAAAACAAAGUACUGCUAUUGCUUGGACUUUUCUUUAUGGAUCCAGGGUGUGUGAAGACUCAAGAAGGAGACUGCAAGGUCCUUGAAGGCAGAAACCGUGUCUUUUUUCCUCAUGUGGCAUACCCAGCACCUAGCACAUGGUAGUACACAAGCAUUUUAAUAAAUGAGUAAAAUAAGUUGUCUUCUGCAUCCUCAAAGCAGUAAAAUUUUUUGGAUGUCAAGAAAGGGAAAAGGAUGGUUAUUCCCACAGAGCUGUGUCUGGAGAGCCUGGGACCUGGGGGAAAUUAUACCACUACCUCAUCUCACACAAGGAGCUAGAAGUAUUUGUCUGGCUUGGCCAUAGAACCCAGGGCCUGAGAACAGCCAGGCUAGGUGUCAACUGGUCCUUACAGGUCCUUAAAACAAGAGGACAUGAGGGGAAUAAGCGGGUUGGUGACUGCUCUGUACACAACGGACUGUGUUGUGAAUGACAAGGCAGAGUAAUUUUUUUUUUAAGUGUACAGUUCAUUGGCUUUUAGUAUAUUCUAAAAGUUACACAAUUAUCACCUCUAUGUGAUUCCAGAGCAUUUUCACCAUCCCCAAAAGAAACGCGUGGUUUUCUCCUGACAUUUUUGACACCAACUAUGCGGAGUUUUCUCCAUACCAACAAUAAAUUCUCCAACACCAACUGGGUGUCCAACAAUCAAUUCAAUUCUGACACAAACUCCUGGAGUUAGUGCAGACCCCACAGGUUAUGAGCCCAGUCGCACAAGACCAUCUCUACGUCAGAUACUGGCUGCAAACUGGGUGCUCAGCCUAUCUACAGUUCUUUCUAGCCAACUACAAAUUCAGAGGUUCCCACAACCUAUCACAUUCAAUAAUUCACUAAAAUAGUUAACAGAAAUAAAAAAAAAAAAAUUACAUUUUCUGGUUUAUUAUAAAGGAUACAAUUCAGAAACUGCCAAAUGGAAGAAAUGCAUAGAACAAGGUAUGGAGGAGGAGGGCUGGCACAAAGCUUCAAAGUACUCUCAGGGAUGCCACACUCAGAACAUUAAUGUGCUUACGAACCUGGAAACUCUCCGAACUCUAUCCAUUUAGGGGUUUUUAAUGGAGAUUUCAUAUUGUAGGCAUUGCUAACUAAAUCACUGGCCAGUUGUUGAUUGAAUUCCAUCUCCAGCCCCUCUCCCCUCCCUCUCUCCCUCCUGGAAAAGUCAGUGGGUGGGGUUGAAAGUUCUAACCCUCUGGCAACCAGCUCCCAUUGUAAAGCCAUCUAGGCUUCCCUCAUGAAUCAUUUCAUUACCAUAUAAAAGACAGUGUCAAAUAAAAUAAAACAAAAUGUAGACCAGGAGUGAAGAUUCCCUCAAGCAGCAGACAAAACCAGUUAGACCACAGGAGCAAAAUUUAAUCUAGUUUAUUUCAUGAAUGCAAGCAAAAUUUAACAUAUUAUUUCUUGUAAAUGCCUCCGAUAAUCAUAAAUAAAACUUAAGUCAUCUUCCUAAAGCAGUACAUGAUAAUCACUUUUAACCAAACCUCUGCCAUCUGGAAAUCUCCACUGUAGUAAACAAUUAUUGUAAAGGUUAAACAACUUCCUUAUUUUCA